rnacentral:rRNA from 1 species
GCCUAACACAUGCAAGUCGAGCGGGAAAGGGGACUUCGGUCCCUGAGUGUAGCGGCGGACGGGUGAGUAACACGUGGGUAACCUACCCUCGGGUGGGGAAUAACCUAGGGAAACCUGAGCUAAUACCGCAUCAUAUCCCGGACUCAUAAUCGGGUUCGGGAUCAAAGCUGGGGACCCUUCAGGGGCCUGGCGCCUGAGGAGGGGCCCGCGGCCGAUUAGCUUAGUUGGUGAGGUAAUGGCUCACCAAGGCAACGAUCGGUAGCCGGCCUGAGAGGGCGGACGGUCACACUGGGACUGAGACACAGGCCCAGACUCCUACAGGGAGGCAGCAGUGGGGAAUUCUUGUCAAUGGGGGAAACCCUGAACAAGCAACGCCGCGUGGAGGAUGAAGGCCUUCGGGUCGUAAACUCCUGUCGGAGGGGACGAAAGCGGCUGGGGCGAAUAACCUCAGUUGUUGACGGUACCCUAGGAGGAAGCCCCGGCUAACUCCGUGCCAGCAGCCGCGGUAAUACGGGGGGGGCAAGCGUUGUUCGGAAUUACUGGGCGUAAAGGGCGCGCAGGCGAGCCUGGCAAGUCCUUCGUGAAAUCCCACGGUCAACUGUGGAA